rnacentral:rRNA from 1 species
GACGAACGCUGACGGCACGCCUAACACAUGCAAGUCGAACGGACGAGGAGGAGCUUGCUUCUCCGAGUUAGUGGCGGACGGGUGAGUAACACGUGAGCAACCUACCCUUGAGAGGGGGAUAGCUUCUGGAAACGGAUGGUAAUACCCCAUAACAUAUAUUUUAGGCAUCUAAGAUAUAUCAAAGAAAUUCGCUCAAGGAUGGGCUCGCGUCUGAUUAGAUAGUUGGUGAGGUAACGGCCCACCAAGUCGACGAUCAGUAGCCGGACUGAGAGGUUGAACGGCCACAUUGGGACUGAGACACGGCCCAGACUCCUACGGGAGGCAGCAGUGGGGAAUAUUGCACAAUGGGGGGAACCCUGAUGCAGCGAUGCCGCGUGGAGGAAGAAGGUUUUCGGAUUGUAAACUCCUUUUAACAGGGACGAUAAUGACGGUACCUGAAGAAAAAGCUCCGGCUA